CCUUGCAAUUUGGGGGCUCGUCCGGGAUUUCUCCAGACAGGUAAGAAAUAAAAUGCUUAAGUGCAUCUUACUGUCUGUUGAGAAAUUUAUCCUUAAAUUUCCGUGCCACGAUUUUUGCCAUAUUUGGUAAAAGUUGGUUAUCCUCGUAUUUGAAUAAAUAUGGGAAGGACAAAAAAGAGAAUUGAUCACCCUUUUUGUUAUUAGUGUUAUCCUCACGUUUUUGAGCGUGGGAAGAAGGAAUAGAUGAUUAUAUGUGUGAAGAGAUUUUAUUUCUUUUCCUGGUUUUCCUAUUCCUUAGGAUAUCUCUCAGUCCUUUUUCACGAUUGAAUGAAUUUUGAAUGAUUUUAAAGAAAAUGGUGUUGUGAAGUCCUUGCAAGGCAUUAACUUGAACUUCUAAAUUAAAUCUUUAAAAUUUGCAUUAAAAAAAUUGAUCUGGACAGGAGACAGAAUAUUAGAGCUACAAAUAAGAAUACAAGUUCUUUGAUUCAGUGAAGUUAUGAAGCAGAUCAUGUUCUGUCCCUCCUGUGAUAGACUGAGGGGCUGCUGAUCUUAAAAGCAGCUGUAUGUGAAAUUCAUGGUGAAUUAGGAGUCAAAUAUCAAAAUUCUGUUGAUUAGAUAUUUGACAAUUGGGGAUAGCGCAGAUAUGUGCAAUUGUUUUUAGAUAUUUUGGCUGAUUAGACUUAUGAGAUUUUGAUUUGAGUCUUGGCUUAGAUAUAGGUUAAAGACCAUACUUUAAAUGAAAUAAUCUCAAGAGUUAAAUAGAGAAACAAAUAAAUAGGACAAUAUUAAAUUAAUGUAAAAGAUAUAGUAUAAUCCUGUUUUUGUAUCUGUAUUUGUACUCGUUAUCCCUGGGAGACAGUAUGAAAAUUGAUGUAUGGCAGAGAUUUUAAGAUUUUGUUAUUUGAAGAAUAACUUCUGCAUUGUGUUGAAUGAGAUCAAGAUUGGGUGACUAAUUUAAUUAGAUGUUUUGAGCUCAACAUAAAAAGAAAAAAUAUUUUUGACGGUUGCCAACUUAUAUUUAGUAUUACUAGAUUGAGAUUGAAGUGUGACUUCAGAAUAUACAGAAUACAUUAUGCUGAUGAAUUUGUGAGGAUUAUUUAUUUGUAGUGAUCUCAGAUAUAUUUCAGAGUAGCUUAUUGCUCUUUUCUGCAUUCUGCAAAGAAGAAAUUGCUUGCUUUUUCUGCAAAGAAGAACUUGCUUUAUUAAAAUAAAAAUGAGGAACUGCUAUUGUCAACCAGAUGAUAAAAUUAAGAGACAUUUGAAAGAGGUAAUUAAAAAGCAAAUCAGAUUGCUCAUAUACAAUUGUGGUUGGAAUUUACAUGCGGCUCUCUCUUGAGUGUUCAUUUUUUAGAAAGCAGACCAUGGCUUCUGGGAUGUUGCCAAAAUAAAGAACAACUAUGCUGUGCUGAGGGAGAGAGAAGACGGCACACGGCUGGAUGGACCAUCAGCUCCACCCCUGAAAGAGAAAAUUGAUACUGUAUCUCAGAGGGGCUGGACUUGGAGAAAUGACAAUGCAACAAGAUGCCCUGAGAAGAAAGACAGAGACACAACUGCAUCUUCCAGACCUCCAGUGCUCUCAUCAGAUCCUCAUCACAGACUGACAAAGUUCACUGGAUGAAGAGAACGACAUGUGAAAAUGAAAGACUCUUUCAGAAGAUCCAGUGCUACAGACCAGCAGUCCUACAGAAAUCUCAGAACUACCAGAUGAAUCUGAGAAAAGUAACGCAUUCAACUGACUGAAGAUCAAGCAAGACUUCUAUCCCUUCGCUUGUGUGCAGGUAUAAGGUACGAGUAGAUGCUGUCAGGAGAUUGAAUGCGGUAUCUUCAUAGAACCAAAUUUGACUUACACCUGCUUGUGACCACAAGAGAAGACUAUCUGAGUGGUGGAGCAAGAUCCAUGAGCACACUAGUGCAGUGCUCAAAAGUGGAACACCCUGAGUUCACACCAGGUGUGCCUCUAACCCUGGCAGAGGCAGAAGAGUUCCUUAGGGGGACCAACGAGGAGAUUGAGCAGACUCAACUGGUGGCCUAAAAGCCCGCUGUUUGCUCCAACUGAUCAAGAGCAUCCAAGAACAGAUGAAGGAUCGACGAGCACCACAGUGCUUAGCAGCAAAAAGAGAAAUUCAACAGAAACUGAUUAAAUCACCCUGAUGAUGAAGCAUAGAACGAAGACAUUUAGAUGCGGAAGAGGACAAAAUAGUUGUCUACAGUGAAUUUUUACCCACUGUUGUAGAAUACAGUAAAAAGCUUAUUGAAGGUCAAGGAAAGUGAUUAAGUGUUGUGAGGAAAAGUCAUGCUAUGAUUAAGUGAUCAUUUUAUGAUCAAAUGGGGGAACUGAUAGAUUUUCUUAUCAGCCUGACUUUUCUUUCCUUGUUUCUCCCUGUUUUCCCUCACCUGGUCUUCACGGAUGCAAGGGUAGAACGGAGACUGGUUGUUAUGGUUUCGUCACACAUCUGGUUUUAAUGUACACAAUGUAUAUGUUUGUGUGUUUCUUGGAAAGCAGCCAAGAAAGGGUCCCGGCUUUUAGGGCUUACUGGAGCCCAAGGCAGGCAGGGGCACUGGACCAGAUGUUGACCAUAUUUAGACUUGUUUUUCUAUAUGUACCACAUUCCUAUAUCAUGAAAGUAUAUUCUCAUUGGACAAUUGUUACACCACCCCCUGAACAUGUUUAAAAGCCCUGUACUGAAGUAAAUCUGGGAGGAGGUUUUGUGAACAGAUUGACUUCAUGUUCAUGACUCUUUCCCAUAGGCCUAUGCAUUCAAUGAGUGAAAAAGACAAACUGAGAAUGAGGCACGAAUCGGGACCAUAAAUGUAAGAUUAAAUAACCUUGCAAUAUCUCAUAUAUAUUAUUAAUAAUAGCAAUUAAUAAGAGUAAUUCUGAGUCUUGACCUGUAAACUCCCAAGUGUCAGCUCUCUAAAUAUGUGUUGAUUAUGUGUCUAUCCAGAAAGACUUAUGAGCAGCAACUUUUUUUUUAUUUUGGUCUUUUAUGCCCCACUUGCCAAAAUGGGGGGAGUGCAGUAAGGGGUUAAAUUGCUGGGGUCCAACUGACCCAAGUGGGAAAAAAAAAAUGUUGGUAAAUUUGAGAGUAACAGAAGGGUUAAAAUGUUAGUAUCAUUAUUGGACUUUAUUGUUUCCUCGAUCUCUGUUCUCAUGUAUUUCACAGUUUAAGGGGCACUUUAACUUUCAUGUCGCACCUUGCAAGCCAUGCCCAUGCUAUUUUGAGACUUUUUUUCCCAGUGGAAAGGGAUGAUACUUUUAAGUUUGAGCACAUUUAAAUUGUUUAUUUAUUUUGUUUCUUUGUAGCACUAAUGUAUAGGCAGUUUUUAUGGCUAUAUUUAAAUAUAUAAAAGCUAUAUUUAUGGUUUAUUCAUGUUUUGAGGUUAUAAACUUAUAAAGUGAUGUUAUCAAAAGUAUAUAAUCAACUAUUCUGCUUAUCUUUUACAGUUAUGAAAAUUGAGGAAAAAUUAGGGUGUACUGUACUUUCAGGACUUUGCAUCACCAAUGGUUAUUACUACAGCCUGUUUCAUCAUUCAGUCAUUCACACUGCAUUUAGCUAUACAUUUUAUCAGGUCAUGCCUACCAUGGGAAUUGAACUUGUGACCUUGGACUUGCUAGUGUCAUGUUGAUGUGGUCUCAUCUUAGUCAUGGAAAAAAAGGUCACAUCAACAUACAUUUUUCAUCCUAGUGUUUUUAUUUAAAAAAAUAUAACUAUUGCAUUGAAGUUGUGCAUAUCAAGAAAAGGAGGGAAUUCGAAACGUUGAACACUGAGGUACAGCAAUAUUGUUCUAAUAUGAUCUUUCCACCCUUCCCCUCCAGAAUACUGGAAGUGCAGUUCCUGGGAUGCCCUGUUCAGAAACGGUGGACUGAAGGAUCUGGGCUGCGUUUCUCAAAGAUAUAACAGUGUCUGUAUAGUUUGUCAGUUGACACAAGAUUAAUUCAGCUAGCAGCUCUACAGAAGACAAUAGUGUUGUUAUUCAGUUCGAGUCAGUUAAUUGUUGAUUCAGUUCAGUUCAAUAACAGUGUCAAUGUUGCAAAAUGUGUCAAUUAUUAAACAAAUUCAAUUCAGCUCUAUACAGAAAACAA